UACGUAGGGUGCGAGCGUUGUCCGGAAUUAUUGGGCGUAAAGAGCUUGUAGGCGGUUUGUCGCGUCUGCUGUGAAAACCUAAGGCUCAACCUUGGGCUUGCAGUGGGUACGGGCAGUCUAGAGUGCGGUAGGGGUGACUGGAAUUCCUGGUGUAGCGGUGGAAUGCGCAGAUAUCAGGAGGAACACCGAUGGCGAAGGCAGGUCACUGGGCCGCAACUGACGCUGAGGAGCGAAAGCAUGGGGAGCGAACAGG
rnacentral:rRNA from 1 species